rnacentral:rRNA from 1 species
AUUGAACGCUGGCGGCAGGCUUAACACAUGCAAGUCGAGCGGAGAUGAGGUGCUUGCACCUUAUCUUAGCGGCGGACGGGUGAGUAAUGCUUAGGAAUCUGCCUAUUAGUGGGGGACAACAUUCCGAAAGGAAUGCUAAUACCGCAUACGUCCUACGGGAGAAAGCAGGGGAUCUUCGGACCUUGCGCUAAUAGAUGAGCCUAAGUCGGAUUAGCUAGUUGGUGGGGUAAAGGCCUACCAAGGCGACGAUCUGUAGCGGGUCUGAGAGGAUGAUCCGCCACACUGGGACUGAGGCACGGCACAGACUCCUACGGGAGGCAGCAGUGGGGAAUAUUGGACAAUGGGGGGAACCCUGAUCCAGCCAUGCCGCGUGUGUGAAGAAGGCCUUAUGGUUGUAAAGCACUUUAAGCGAGGAGGAGGCUACCGAGACUAAUACUCUUGGAUAGUGGACGUUACUCGCAGAAUAAGCACCGGCUAACUCUGUGCCAGCCGCCGCCGUAAAAC